rnacentral:ncRNA from 1 species
CUGACGGGCGCGUCCGGGUCAAUUGCGGCCUGCAACACCCAAUCUCGCUGCCGGUGCCGGAUGGAUUGGCAGUCGGCGAGCGCGAGCGCGUCACCGUCAG